GACGAACGCUGGCGGCGUGCCUAAUACAUGCAAGUCGAACGGUCUUUUCUAUGGAAGCUUGCUUCCGCUGAGAAGAUAGUGGCGAACGGGUGAGUAACAUGUGGGUAACCUGCCCAUAAGAGGGGGAUAACAUCCGGAAACGGGUGCUAAUACCGCAUAGUUUUCUUGAUCGCAUGAUUGAGAAAGGAAAGACGGCCUUUGUGCUGUCGCUUAUGGAUGAACCCGCGGCGUAUUAGUUAGUUGGUGAGGUAACGGCUCACCAAGACGAUGAUACGUAGCCGACAUGGGAGGGUGAUCGGCCACAUUGGGACUGAGACACGGCCCAAACUCCUACGGGAGGCAGCAGUAGGGAAUCUUCCGCAAUGGACGAAAGUCUGACGGAGCAACGCCGCGUGUGUGAAGAAGGUUUUCGGAUCGUAAAACUCUGUUGUCAGAGAAGAACAAGUCGGAGAGUAACUGCUCCGGCCUUGACGGUAUCUGACCAGAAAGCCACGGCUAACUACGUGCCAGCCGCCGCGGUAACAC
rnacentral:rRNA from 1 species